ACCCAUAUAAGAGAGAGUAUGAAUCGCCUAACGACUACCAGAGUCCGUUGCUGAAAGGCACAAGCCCAGGCACAAGCUGGCCUCUGUUGGAGCUGCAAUCGCAAUCGCAGUUGGAGUCGGUGCUGGCUUGGAAGUCGCGCUACGAGUUGGAGUCUCAGCCGGUGUCCGUGUUGCCAAGUCAGUCGCUUUCAAUUUGGCAAACGUGCAGUUCAAAGCCUAGACGCUGAUUGGGGGCAAAAGUGCGCGGGCUGGUGGGGUAAGGGAAGUGCUGGUGGUGUUUCAGCCAAGAUUAAUAGCGGCCAAAGGCAACAGAGUCAAGUCGCGUCGAGAGAUCUCUGGUGCGCAAGCGUGCGGUGCACACGCGAUUGGCACGAGUUUCGGGCACAAAAUAUAUAUAUGAAGAAAAUUAAAACCCGAUUCGUAGCUGAGCUGGCCUAACUAGUUAUGGCAGCUAACUCCGAUUGUUGUGCAGUGUGGGAACCUGCGAUCCGGCAAGGACUUGCUGCCUGAAUGAGGUCACGGCCUCAUUAGAUCCCCCAUACCGAUGGCCAUGCCCAUUGCCAUGGCAUACCCAUACUUAUGCCAUCCGAUUCCCAUCCCGUUUUCCGUUCCCAGUUCGGAGCGUGUGAACCACAACAUGUCAUAAUCCCCUCGUUGCGACUAGUCCCUUUUAAAAUGAACUUAUCAGCGCCGGGCUCUGCGAGCCUGAUUAUAAAUGACAACAAACAGGCCAACAAGUAGCAAUAACAGCUGCUCAGCCGAAACAAAAAUCACAUCGAAAGGAAACAGAAAUAACAGCGUCAGCAGCAGAAGCAACAACAAUAAUAGUGCCCCGAAAAAAGCCGAAAACCCAAGUGAAAUUCUUAUAAGCCCUUUCCCACACUCGAAGACAUCGACAUCGAACAACGGCGACGCCUGCGCCUUUUGCCUUUGCCAUUGCCUUUGCCCUAACCAUUGCCAGUUCCCCAGGACGGAAAUGCGCAGCGUCUUAGUCCCACGCUCGCAGAAGGGAACAGGUGCUAUUCGAGGCCCCUUCGACGACGGCUCUGUGGCGAGCCCUAACCCCUCCUCCUCCCACCGCAUCGCCCGAAAUCCCGAAGCCUGAAGACCGGACAACAACCCAUGUACUACUGGGCUCCGGGCUCUGGGUACCGUGUGAAUGUGAAAACAAAGUCAGUCGUGCAUAAAUGACGAACAGGCGAUGCGCACAGUAGUUCUAGGCUAAUAACAGGAUUAUGGAUAACUAACAUUUACAAUUUGGUACCUCCAAAAAAUAAUUACAU
ensembl:ncRNA lncRNA:CR43643 long non-coding RNA:CR43643